ensembl:lncRNA
GUCACUGAAAGUGGGGCUGCGUGACUCGAGCUUUAUCAAUCCUCCCAGCAACUACUGGAAACUAGUUGUGGAAUCUUCAUUUUCCCUCACAACCGGCUUGCCUGGUCUCUAAGCCCGAGUGUCACGAUUCCAAAAUGGCACAUUUUUGCAAAACCUCAAUAUAGUCAAGAAUAGUUAACAAUUGCUGGUCAUUUAAAAAAAAAAGAAAAAAAAAGAAUUUAGAUUUAACGAACUUAACCACAGUCCACACACUUAACUGUCAUUUUUUUCACUAGAAAUCGUUUACAAAUUUCCCAUAUCCUUAUCAGAUAAUGUGGCAGUCGUUAACUGACUAUUGACACAACAAUUAGACCGAAAGUGAUUUGAAUGCUGUUAAAACAGGAAAUUAAUCAACAGCCUGGAAAACCCAGAACUCUCCUUCGUGACGUCGUCUAUCAUACCACAGCAGAGAGUGCGAGUGGAAGAGUCAGAGGCAGACCUUGCGGGCAGAGCAGCUGGUUGGAUGAAGAGUUCCUCACCUCGCACGAAGAAACACCGUGUGAACUAACAAACGGACAAAAUAACCAAACAACUUAACUGGUUUCUUUGCUAAUCUGUGCCGUGCCGUGCCGUGUCGUGACCGGUGGAGAAACAAAGCCUGCACAGCUUCGAGAAACGAGAGAGAACAACAGUUUACAGAUCGGUGGAUAGUCUGGUAUGUUAAUGUGCCAUUAGAAACCAUGUCCCAGUCUUUAAGAGCCUUUCGGUUAAAGUACCGACAAGCAGCGUUUAAUGUCUGCGUUUUAUCGCAUUGAAAGCCAUGUGUCUUUCGCUUUCUGACUGUUGCCUUCAGAGUCGUCCCUUACUUUUUAUUUAUCGCAGCUUUUAAGUAAAUUUGAGCACAGUGAAUAACUGAAACUAUUACAUCCGCAUUGAAAGUAACAGCUGCAUCGUCGAAAAUGUGUAGAGACGUAAGGACUUCAGAUUAUUCCCCAGGGCAGCUCUUCCUCACACAAACCAUGGUGGCGGCCAUCCUGAAAAUGUAUUUCUUUGGAACAGCACUUUCUGUCCUUGCAGUCCUUUAUGAAAUAGCGGACUCCGUUGGUGGUCUCAUGCACGUGCAGGACCAUCACUACUUACAGGAGCUGAACCAACAGACAGAGAGGGACAUUUCUUCAAACAACUGGAGAGGGCGGCCCGUGACUAAAAACAUUGGCUCAUGAGAAGAUCGUCAUGUUGUAGUUUUUGGACAUGUUCCUCAACUGUCUGCAAGGACAUGGAAUUUUCACUGAUGUGGAUUUAUGGUCCAAAUGGAUCUCUCUGUUUGGGCACUUUUUUGUAGCCCAUUGUCUGCUGUGAUAUCUUGUAGCAGCUAUUCUGUAAAAAGCACUACUGAACACAGAACACGUUCCUUGUGUUAAAAGUACACAUUUUGUAUAUAAUUUUCUAAACAAAGUGAAUUAAAACUGUUUUUUUUAAGGGGGGUGGGGGGAUUUUUUUGAUGAAUGCUUUUGAUGUGUGUAAGUUUAUUGCAGCAUGUAGAAGUCAGAGUACAAAGUGUGCCUUUUGGUUUGGUAGUGAUCAUGCAAUUGAACUUGGAGACAAAAAGAGAAAUGCAGGCUGCCAUAAAACUAACAGGCCUUAACAAAACAUGACUUCUCUAGAAAAGAGAGAAAAAAAAAAAAAACCUUCAGGCUGCCAGCAAAAAUUGCGCAACAAGGUCCCCACUGUGUAAAGAUCUGUCUGCCUUUUUGUUGUGAGUAAGGUUUUGUGAAUCAAAUAUGGGUUGCGCGACAAAGCUGGGAAAUGAUCUGUAAAACAUGAAAACCAUGACUCUGUGCACGAUUUCAACAUGAAUAAAGAUAAAUUGUUAUAAAUAAACCUGAGUGUUGCUCUUAUCAAGCGCAGAUACCAUCUCAGGCUUUUCAGGAGACA